AGCGAACGCUGGCGGCAGGCCUAACACAUGCAAGUCGAACGAUCCUUCGGGAUAGUGGCGGACGGGUGAGUAACACGUGGGAACGUGCCUUUUGGUUCGGAACAACUCAGGGAAACUUGAGCUAAUACCGGAUGUGCCCUUCGGGGAAAGAUUUAUCGCCAUUAGAGCGGCCCGCGUCUGAUUAGCUUGUUGGUGAGGUA
rnacentral:rRNA from 1 species